GUUCAACUGGCGCAAUGGUAGCGCAUCAGACUUCUACCCAAUACAAGCAGGGCUCGAACCUGCUCGGGAUGGAAUCUGGGGGUUGCAGGUUCGAGCCCUGCGUUGAAUG